rnacentral:rRNA from 1 species
GUUUGAUCCUGGCUCAGGACGAACGCUGGCGGCGUGCUUAACACAUGCAAGUCGAACGAAGAGCGAUGGAAGCUUGCUUCUAUCAAUCUUAGUGGCGAACGGGUGAGUAACGCGUAAUCAACCUGCCCUUCAGAGGGGGACAACAGUUGGAAACGACUGCUAAUACCGCAUACGAUCUAAUCUCGGCAUCGAGGAUAGAUGAAAGGUGGCCUCUACAUGUAAGCUAUCACUGAAGGAGGGGAUUGCGUCUGAUUAGCUAGUUGGAGGGGUAACGGCCCACCAAGGCGAUGAUCAGUAGCCGGUCUGAGAGGAUGAACGGCCACAUUGGGACUGAGACACGGCCCAGACUCCUACGGGAGGCAGCAGUGGGGAAUCUUCCGCAAUGGACGAAAGUCUGACGGAGCACCGCCGCGUGAGUGAUGACGGCCUUCGGGUUGUAAAGCUCUGUUAAUCGGGACGAAAGGCCUUCUUGCGAAUAGUGAGAAGGAUUGACGGUACCGGAAUAGGAAGCCACGGCUAAUUACGUGCCAGCAGCCGCGGUAAUACGUAGGUGGCAAGCGUUGUCCGGAAUUAUUGGGCGUAAAGCGCGCGCAGGCGGAUAGGUCAGUCGGUCUUAAAAGUUCGGGGCUUAACCCCGUGAUGGGAUGGAAACUGCCAAUCUAGAG